AUUACCGAGGAGAACAUGCAAAGUUUGGGAUUCACAUCGGGCGCUCAGCUGCCGCCGCAUAUUCGCCCCCGCUUCUUACGUGUAUCCAGGUCCGACGCACACCCCUUGAUUGAUUUGAGCGAUUCCUCGGGGUCAUCGACCGAGGUCUUUGCCUAGCCCUCUUCCCGGUCCAUUGUUUGUCCUUCUCGCGCCUCCUCUAGAGUGAGAUCUCCUGGUAUGGCCUCGUUCCGUGAGCGCCUUGAACGUGCUGUGGAGCGCGCUCAUGCGGUGAAGAGACAGAGGGUCGUCUCGCAUCCCCAGGUUCCCCUGGCUGAGCCCAGCCGUCCGUCGCCUGCGGAGACUAGAUCACAGUCCUACCGACCUCUUCCGCCGCCGUCCGUGCCUCCCUCGCCUCCGCCUGUUUCGUCCACGCGUUACCUGCCCGUCGAUGUUGGUGAUGCGCUUUGAACUUUUCAGGCUUCCCUCGAGGAUUAGGCUGCCUCCUCCGUGGCCCGUGUUGAAGACGAGCAGAGGCGUGCCCGCGUGGUGAGCAAGGUCUUAGAGGCUGAGACUAGACGAGCUAACAAGCUUCAGAAGACUUUGGAGGUGGAGAGGAAGAGACAUGCUGAAGAGCUUGCACGCGUCAUCCCCGCCUAUAAGAGAUCUAUCUUGUUCGUUCAGGAUAUGCCGAGGCGUAUGUUUGUGAGCACAUUAAUGAGAUAGUCGCCUCCUGGUUUGCUAGUGACGCUGGGAAGGAGAUGAUGGCGAAUGAGAUUGUCGUGUCCUACCAGUUGGGAAGGUAUGAGAUGCAGCAAGGCAUCUACACCACCCUACGCCAGAAGGGCGAUACAUUCGAUCCGGAGAUCCUGGAGCUGCUGGCCAAGAUGGAGAACCCCGAGCCGGAGACGCCUGCGGAUAGGGCGGACACUGCCG